AUGUAUCCAGUUUGUAUGGGUGUUUUCGAUUCUGAAACUAAUGAGAAUUGGAUCUGGUUCAUGCAAAUGGUUAGACAAGCCAUAGGAUCCCCAAGGGGUUUAACCAUAUGCACCGACGCUGGGCAACCAGUGAUGACAGGUGUAAAAGAAGUGUUCCCAGAGACUGAACAUAGGGAAUGUAUGUUUCACUUGGUGUCCAACUUCAAGAAGAAGUUUCAUGGAAAGGUGUUUGAUGACCACCUUUGGGUUGCUGCUUACUCAUGGAACCCAUAUAUAUUUGAAAAAAAUUGGGCUGCAAUGGACCUAGCAAAGCCAAUGGCAACUGCAUAUCUUAGGAGGUGGCACACUAGGUUGUGGUCUAGGAGUCAGCUCUCAACAAUUUCCAAGGUGGAUUAUGUUACAAACAGCUUGGCUGAGUGCUUCAAUAAUUGGAUUAAGCAUCACAAGUCCUUGAACUUGGACGACUUCUUUGAUAAGGUUAGGCAGAUGAUUAUGAUCAUGUGGAACCGAAGGAGGAAAGUAGCAAGGAAGUUGGUUGGGUUGAUUCUUCCCCACAUAAUUAAGAAAGCAGCCUAUGACCAACUAAUUCCUGCCAUGGUUGACAAGAACCAAUGGCCUAAAUCUGACCAUGGAUUCUUCAUGUUUCCACCGCUACUAAAAUCCACGGCGGGUAGGCAUAAAACUGAGAGGUAUAAAGGUUGCAGUGAGAAGAAAAGAAAAAACGGCCAACACUUAUGCCCUAUUUGUAAGGACUAUGGGCAUCAUUGGCAUAAAUGCAAGAAGGGUAACCCAGAUGACAUUGCUGCUAUUUUAGCUAUGAGAGGACCACCAAAGAAGAGGGCAAAGACCACCAAAGCAUCAAUUGUGCCUUGCGAGGAUGAUGCUCCAGCAGCCUCUAUGUGCUUUCUGCCAAGCCAAAGCUUGGAACCUACAACUACGAAAAAGAGAAAACAUGAUAACUCAAUUACUGGAGCAUCAAAAAGCCAAAUGUUGGAGAAAACAACUAAGGAAAAAGGGAAAGGGAGUAUAUCUGGAUCCGGAGUAGCAAAAAGAUCAACAACUCAGCCCAUUUGUGUGGCCAAUAAGAAAGCAUCUGUUGCUUUGAAAUUACAUAUGAAAAGAAAAAGCAAAGAGGUUGCUGAUAAGUUGCCACACCUUCCCAUGGUGCCACAUGACAGCCCUGCAAUGGGCACACGAAGCAAAAAAAUGAAUCCUUCCAGCCCUGCAAUGAGCACACGAAGCAAAAGGAGACUUAGCUUGUGA
rnacentral:rRNA from 1 species